rnacentral:rRNA from 1 species
UACGUAGGGUGCGAGCGUUGUCCGGAAUUAUUGGGCGUAAAGAGCUCGUAGGCGGUCUGUCGCGUCGGUCGUGAAAACUUGGGGCUUAACCCUGAGCUUGCGGUCGAUACGGGCAUGACUGGAGUUCGGCAGGGGAGACUGGAAUUCCUGGUGUAGCGGUGAAAUGCGCAGAUAUCAGGAGGAACACCGGUGGCGAAGGCGGAUCUCUGGGCCUGUCCUGACGCUGAGGCGCGAAAGCUAGGGGAGCGAACAGG